GGUCUGGAAAUAAACAUUAGGUUUAUUCUGCAUCAGUAACAGACAGAGAGGAAUGUCACCUCGUGCAGACAACAGCACAUGCUCACUCUCAUGGGAAUCUUCCGCUACUUUGAGGAUUACCCAUAAUUCCUUGCUGUC